GCGGCCCCCCCGCCCCGCUCCCCGCCGAGCCCGGGCUGCCCUUCGUGCCCAAAGCCCGCCACGUCCCACCGGCUCCUACCGCUUUGUCCCUCUCCUCUCUGAGUUGUUUUUCGAGGGAGGGGGGUUUGGUGGUGGUUGCGUCUCCCCCGGCGCCGCCGAGGGACCUUUAUCCAAAGGCAACUCUCGCUAAUAUCCCGAAGAAAGUUUGUUUCUUGCGCAGCACCUGUUGGUGAUGGGUUUGGCGGCCUCUUUGUUCGCCCCCGGAGUGAGUCCCGCGGGCGGCUCUGGCGGCCCCAGCCCUCUCUGAGCUCUCCGCCGGUCGAAGAAGGCAGCUUGCUCGCAAAAGCCUUUACGACAGAAUAAAGAUAAAUCUAGCAGCUCUCCUCGGAGUCAGGAGGCGUUGAAGGAGAUGCUUACAAAUCAUCCGAUGAGAGGGAUACUUCAAAAACAUCAAUAUUGAUGUAACACGGAGCCAUUUCCCUGUGUUUAUACAAAGUUCACACCAAUCACAAACAAUCCAUGCACUUUACAAACAAAUUGAUCCUGCUGUGGAAUGCUUCCUUGGGAGAGAAACGCUUGUUAUCAUCUUCCUGCAAGGAAGGGGAUGAUUUAUUUUGUUUCAUGUCCUGGAUAUUUAUGUGUGUAGCUUGAGCAUUAGCAAGCUAACAUUUCACUUCAUCCUGAGCUGCAAGGAAACACAUUGAUUGGAAGAAGGAUGAUCUUCCCUGGUGUUUCAAACGAUCAUAUCCUUUCUUCCCUUCACCCUUUAAGCAAAUCUGGGACUAUCAAGUUAAGAUUUUGUCUACUUUUAGGACAGCUUUAAUUUCCCAAGUGACUACUUUGUGUCAAAGAGGCAACUGAGUACCAAAUUCCUGAAACACAUAAAGCAGGCAUGUGAUACAGCGAUUUAGUCUUCUUUAAUAAACGGCAACACAUUCAAGCAUUGAAAGGAGAAGAGGGGAAUUUUCCUCUGUUUUGUCUCCUGAUGACAACAUCUGAGCUGAAAAUAAAGUCCACAAAAACUCCUUGGGAAGUACCAACUCUGUUCGGCUGGUUAUUUCCAGAGGUACGACAACACGACCUUCGCAGAGACCUGGGAUGUUAUUUAACUCUUCUGGUUUACUGCUUGGGUAAAUGAAACGGGUUAAAUUUUCAAGGCAAGAGAACAGUUAAAUUAAAUAGUACGUUUGUCACAGUCAUUAUCAAUUAAACAAAAUGCCUCCAAGCUCUUUUUCCUCAUCUUAAGUCUGCACUUCGACACUAGGGAAAUUCCCACACUUUGAAGUUUACAAUGUAUCCUCAUCCAGGAAGGAGGGGAUUUAGAUAAACUGUUGCUUCCACCAGCUGAAGGCAUGGCCUAUGGAAAAGGAAGGUAGCUCCUGAAGAGACAGAACAUGGGAAAGCAGCCCAGGAAAGCCGAUGUUCCCAUCGUGCCCUUUCAGGUGGACAGCCUAAUAAUAGUAAGACAAACAGUAAGAAAAUAGCAUGAAAACCACCUUUAUUUACAGUUGCCUGACUAAAGCAUGCAUCACAGCUAAACAAAGAAUGGUGUUUAUAUACCUUAGUACUGAAUCACUUCUUGUUCACAGUGACACAGGUUGAAUAGUCACCAGUAGCACAACCUGACGUCCUGCUGUAUUUCCAUAGUUCAAAGUCACUGCUUUGGCAGUGGGCACAGCUGGCUAGUGGAUACAGAGUUACAGGACUGGCAGUACAUUUUACUUUGGUGUAACAAAUACAAAAGGCUGGAUACAGUUUAUUUUCAGAGCUCCCUCGGUGUACAGAAUGGGAAAAAUUAAAGUUAUGUAAACAUCUUCAUUUUUCUAGAUUAAAUACAAUAGAAAACUCUUGUUUCAACCACAGGACUGUUGAGAAUAAAAGAUUCAGACACCAUGAGUUGCAUUCAGUCAAUAGCAGACCUCUGGCUGUUCACAGUAGUUUAGAGGUUUAGGAUAAAUCCUGAAGAAUCCCUGCAUCAAAUAAAAAUUCCUCACCACUGAUGCGCUUUUCCCACUAUCGCAGAGCCAAGAUGAAGCUUUCAGAAAGCUCUGACAACUUUAUCGCUACAUAAAGUGGCAGAAAAAGAGACUUUCCCUUGCAGCUGUUGUACAACAUCCUCUUUUGUACCAGAGAACUUAAUUUUAUCAGUUCCCAAUUUCAAGAGUUCCUUAAUUUCAAAAAGCCUGAAUCUAACCAACACCAAAUACUCCAUCACCAAAAAAAAUCCAACCUAUAAGAUUACUCAUAAAAUUCACCACUACUGAAGACAAAUAUUAAAAAGUUACUUGCUAAAUGAUUAUACUGACAGUCUAGAGGACUAAAGUAAAAUAUACUGAUGGAAGUGUGUUUCAGAUUGAAAUACUUCAGGAUCGUGCAGGUAGAAACAUCUUAUUCAAAUCAACAAAAACAUUUAACAAGAGAGUUUCUUGAACCUUAAUAAAAGAUGUUCAUCUUCCUGUGGAGCUUUCAUAGAGACUCACCCUCAUGCUAACACAACAGAAAGGAAAAGGCCUUUCCCAUCCUUGGGUCACACCUAUGGAACCUGCCUAACUCAGCUGAGCUUAGGGUGUUUAGUUUGGGUUUUGGUACAGGUAAUUUGGAAGCACAGAAAACAUUUGGCAGUUCAAGUUUCUGAGUUCAUGCCAGAGAAUGUGACUCCCUUGCUAGUAAAACUUUCCUACAACAAAUAAACCAUCUGCAUUCACAUAAUCCAUGCAAAGAGUAAAAAAAAAAAAAAAA